UGAUGGCAGUGAUGAUUUUUAUACUUACCAUUCACCUGAUAAGACAAAUAUGAGGGUGUUCAGUCACUACCUCAUCUGAUGCCAUCA
rnacentral:snoRNA from 13 species